CAACUUACACGUCUUAACUUUAAAAAUUGUGGCUUUAUUGUUUAUUGAUAACAUUUUUGAAUAAUCUAUGAGUUAAGUCCAUAACUCAACUUAUUUAAAUGGUAACUCACGUUACCAAUCAAAGUCAAUACAAAUAUCACUUUCUAGAAACAUUAACAAAUUGACAAAACUAAGUUGAACAAUGGCUUAUUAGCUUAUUUAGUCUGAAGGCCCUCAACUAAUCUCUGACGGCAGAUAAUUAAUUGUUAAUUUCUAUAAAUAACUUGUAUUGGACUUAUGCUUGCAAGUUGCAGCCGAAGUACGUAUAACUUAUGCUUGCAAGUUGCAACUUUGAACAACCGGUUCACGAAUCUCAAAUAUCAUUUGAGCACCACAUAAAAUAAUGUUUUAUUUUAUUUUAUAUUUAAACUCAGCGAAUUUGGAGGUUCGUAUUGUACGUACUUCUUGUUACCGCAACUAAAAGAUUCGGAGUUGAGAUCCACACAAAUUACUCGGAGGUCGGAACUCGUGAUCAUGUUGUCGAUACCAUUAAAUGGUAACCCUGUACAUAAGUGGAAAUGAUAAGGGUAGUUAGGUCAUUACAAAAAGAUGUAAGCAUGAGAUGAGGCCGGAUCUCCUACAAGUUGGAAAGAAGAUAUUUCACUAUUUUGUCUUUUGCUCUAAAAUGAUGAAAAGAUGGCCCAGCACUUUGAUGGACACAAAUGGAAAAAGUUGACCAGAUGACAAAUUUCAUGGUGAUUUCACAUUAUUAUUAGGUAACCGAACAAACAACUUUUGGAGAUACGUACCUUGCUGCCACACCACAUGAUUCACUUAUUACGUACUAUAUCAAUAAAAAAAGAUAAAGAUUCGUAUAAAGAGAUCACAAUUUACUUGGAGACCGUGAUCUCGUUGUCCGUAUCAUAAAUGGCAACUCCGUACAGACACGAUACAGUUAGGGUUAAUUUAGGUGUUUCAUACCAGUUAGCUAGAGAGAAGAGAUUUUUCCAAGUUUUUGAGGCUGUAAGAGCAUUCCCAUCAGUGAUAUUGGUUGGAUGUCUUUCAAUUUUUUAACAAUAAAAAAAAAAUGUUUUAAUCGUUUAGUUUCAGAGAUACAUGUUUCUGCGCAGAACAUUUAAGAUACUUGGAGACCCACUACGUGUCAAACGUUUAGUUGUGUUUGUUUUGUUUUUGUUUUUUUUUUCCUCUUUUCUUCGAUCGGUUAUCUGUCUCUCUUUGGAAGCAAACGGAACGACGAAAGCUUGAAUCGAUUUUUCAUAAUCGAGUAGAUAUAACCCAAUCGCAGUUCUCAUCGGAUUGCAGAUAAAAUUGGAUCUCUCCGUCUUCUUCUUCUCCGAUUCCGCUUACUUCUUCUAUGUUAGAUGGUCAGCGAGAUAUGUAAAAUCACUUGCAGUGGGAGAAUAGGAGGCUAGGAUCUCAAGUUUCAACGCACUGGGACUGAAGCCAUUGUCAUGGGUAUUGUAGUCCAAGGUUUGUUAUUCCUCAGACUUGUAUAUACUUUAGCUUUGUGUCUAGUUUAGAUUGAGGUGUCUACUUCAGCUUCAGCUUUGAUUCUCUUCUUACGAUUCUUAAACAUUAUAGCUGUUUAUUCAGUUCUGGAUUGAAACAUAUUGCUUGGUAGAACAGAAUUUGGGAAUUAAAUAGUCAAAACUAUAAACAAGAACAUAAAGUCUUAAAUUGUGUUUUGUUCACGUUUUGCUUGUAGUUGUUGGCCUGAUAAUAUUGCGGUUACGUUGUAAGUCUUGAUUUGGUUAUGUUGUAAGUCUUUUAUUGCCUCUUGUUUAGGUUACAUUCUAAGUCUUGUUUUGGUUAUUGUCAAACACAGUCUUGAUUUGCCUCUUGUUUUGGUUAUGUUGUAAGUCUUGUUUUAAGUCUUGUUUGGUUCUUGACAUUGAUAGCUUGUUGCUUGGCUAAUUUGUUUCCUUCUCUCCCACUUGUUGGUGAAUGUACUUUUCUUCUGUUUUGCUAAUUUGUUUUCUUCUCCCCCACUUGUUGUUGAAUCGGUCCUCUAUAUAUAGUGAAGAGAAUCGGCAGCUCUUUUUUGUAUAAACUCUCAUAUUCACUCUUAUUUGUCCUUUAAUUUUCAUAUAAACUCUCCCCACAAUUCUAUCUUAAAUAGCUAUACUAUUUCUUUUUCAUCAAAUAUCUUCUCAUACCAAUUAAAUAUUUCUACGGAGAUGUCAUCUCCAGAUUUAGAUGAUGAGUUUCAUGAAGUUUUUGAUGAACAUUUUGAUAUUCUAUUUCAAAAUUGCCUAGAUGAUUAUGGCAAUGAUCAAGAGGCAACUAGCUCAAGGCCGCCAAGAGCUUAUAUUGAAAAAGGACGCGAGGAAGGGCACACUCUUUUUUGGAAUGAUUAUUUCAUCGAAAAUUCUAGUUACUCUCACGCUAGUUUCCGUCGUCGUUUUCGAAUGAACAAGUCAUUGUUCAUACGUAUUGUUGAUGCACUAUCCAAUGAAGUACCAUAUUUCCAACAAAGAAGAUAUGCUACGGGAAGGUUGGGUCUGUCUGCAUUAUAAAAGUGUACAACAUCCAUUCGUAUUUUGGCAUAUGGCUGUGCAGCUGAUGCGGUGGAUAAAUACCUCCGCCUCGCAGGUAGUACCGCAAUGCUAUGCUUGGAAAAUUUUGUGGAGGGAAUUAUAUAUUUGUUUCAGGAUACGUACCUCAGAAAACCUACGUCAGAGGAUCUCCAACGAUUACUCAAUCAAGGAGAGACACGCGGAUUUUCCGGGAUGAUAGGAAGCAUUGAUUAUGCAUUGGGAAUGGAAGAAUUGCCCAACAGCUUGGAAAAGACAGUAUUCUUGUGGAUCUUGAAAACCUACAAUCGUUUUAGAGGCUAUGGCUUCCCAAGAUCUCUGGAUUUGGCAUGCAUUUUGUGGACCUCCAGGUACUUUAAAUGAUAUCAAUGUUCUUGACCGUUCACCAGUUUUUGAUGACAUAAUAGAAGGUCGAGCUCCGAGAGUAGAUUACUUUGUCAAUGGUCGACAUUACAAACAGACUUACUACCUCACUGAUGGUAUAUAUCCGAGAUGGGCAACAUUCAUCCAAUCAAUUUCACUUCCACAAGACCCGAAAGCAUCAUUAUUUGCUCAAUGUCAAGAAGCUUGCCGAAAAGAUAUUGAACGUGCUUUCGGGGUCUUGCAAGCUCGAUUUGCAAUUGUUAAAAAUCCCACACUUUUUUGGAUAAGGCAAAAAUAGUAAAGAUAAUGAGAGCAUGUAUCAUAUUGCACAAUAUGAUUGUAGAAGAUGAACGAGAUGGCUACAGUCUGUACAAUGUAGCAGAAUUCUAUCGAGGAGAAAGAAGCGGGACUUCACAUGUCGAUUUAGCAUAUUCUACCGAAAGGAUUACUGAUUUGAACAAUGUGAUGAACAAUUGGAAUCAAGUUCGUGAUACAGUGAUACGUCGAUAGUUGAAAGCUGAUUUGGUUGAACAUAUUUGGCAAAAUUUUGACACAACUCAAGAUUAAACCGAUGUUAAUUAAGUUAUUGAUAAUGCUUUUAUAUAUGUUUUAAAGUUUUAAUA